CCAGUUACAUAUCUAUGUUAAAUUUGAAAAUUUAAAUAAUUAUUGAUGUGACAUCCACAUUGCAAUUCACGUGUAUGCUAGAUCAACAAAAUUAUAAAUGUUAAGUUUUUUUUUAUCCAUUUUUAGUGAUUUGAUAAACAAUACAAAUUCAAUUGCUAAAAGAGACAAAAAAAAUUAAAUAGAAGGUGUAGACCCAAUUUUUAGCCCGGGCCCAUAUAUAUUCAAAGAUAAAACAUAAAACGGCCCAAAAUACAAGUCAAAUUACAAAUGGCCCAACACUAAUAGGCCCAAUUUCGGAAAACCUAGGGUUUUCAUAUGUUUCGCGCCGCAGCAGUGGCCACCAGCAGCCUCCACGCACUAUGCACGAUCAUCGACUCGCGCAUGGCUCGCCCCAUAUCUGUGCGCUUUGCUCCCAUGUCUCCAUGACCUACAAUAUGAGCAAAAAUAGCUAGAAACCGCUUGUAUUUUGGACUAUAAAGCCUCUAAAUUUUGAUUGUAAAAUGAUGGUUUUUUUUCCUCUCGGAGAAAGAGAAUACGAAUUGUAUACAAAAUACACACAAAAAUCAGUAGAAAGUAACCAAAGAGUAUUUUCAAAGGUAAUUAUUUAAUGCAGUUUUUUUUUGUUUCUUCUUUUUCCAUUUUUUUUCAUUUCCAUUCGGAUCCGCAUACGAAAAUAUAAAAAGAAAGAGGAGGGGAACUCACCGUCGCGGCACAAGAGGAACCUCUGAAGUCGAAGUUUGGCUCAAAAUGGUGGUGGAGCCGUUUCUCUUUAGUCUGUUGAAGAAGAGAAAAAAAGAGGGGAAAGUGAAGGAGAAGAGUUUCAAAACUUAAGGGUUUUUUUAAGGAAAAAGUUAAAAUGUUCUCUUUAAAGCAAAAAUAAUAAUUUUUAAAGUAGGUUUUAAUUUUAAGAAAUAAAAUAAAACAGUAUUGGGAAGGGUAGAGUCAGUAUGUGACUUGGUCCACGCGUAUUUACCUUUUAGAUGGAGGAUUUGCGAUUUUAGUCCGCCUCCUUUGUGUCCACUUCUAAAUUGGCCCAAUUCACAUUUUAUUGUCUUUUAAAAUUUUCACUAAAAUUUGCAUACUGUUCCAAUUUGGCCCGUGCCUGGGUACUACGUUUAGGAGUUUGGAUCUUUUGCGUUUUUGGACCCUGUGCAUUCACGCGCCUUGCACUUUGAUCCCUAUUUUAAUUUCCAUGGUUUGUUGUAUUUAUAAAGUAUCCCUUUUGUUUUUAAUUUUUUUUAUAUUUUUUUUGCAUAAUUCAUUUUUUCAUUCACUUAGUUUUUUAUAUAUUCGUAUAUACAUUUUAAAUCGCUUUGACAGUUUUACCUUUUUAAAAAAACAUUAUUUUAGCGUUUUUUAUAUAUCUUAUUUUGUAUGUUAUUACAUUUAAAUAUUCUUAUAUAUACGUUAUUAUGCACAUAAUUUAUGAUAAAAUUAGCUCUAUUCUAUGUACACUAUUGUUUUCAUAUUAUCUUAUGUAAAUAUUUUCUUUUAAAUUUUAUAUAUAUAUAUAUAUUUUUUUUUAAUUUAUUUAUGUAUAAUUUGGUUCUUUUUAAAGGGUUAUUGUAUAUUUUAUUUAUUUUAGUAUCUUGGUAUAUAUUAUUUACACUUUUUUUCCCAUUUUCAUAUAUACAUCAUUAGUUAAAUUAACUUGUCUAUGUUUUAUAUAUUUUUUUAAUAAUUAUUCAUAUAUUGUCAGUUUUUAUAUGCAUAUAAGUUAUUUCGAAUUUUUGCUUGUGUAUUUCUUUGCAUAUAUUUAAUAGUAUUUAAAUUGUUUAUAUCAUUGACUACUAGUUCUUGUGUUGUCUUGCAUAUCACGUGUCGUCAUUGGCUUUCAUAUCGUUUUCACAUAUUAUUGUUCAUAUAUGUAAUUAUGUUUUUUUUUUAUUUCUUGUAAUUGCAUUAUGGUUUCAAUUCCCAUGUUUACUCAAUAUCGAUUGUUUUUAUCCUCAAGCAAACAAGGAUUUUUAAUUCGUUUUUGUAACUAUCAAUUUAAAAAAAAACUUCUAAAACAAAGGCAAUGUUUGGCGUUUGGAAAUUUAGAAAAUCGUGCCUUAACAUGCUGGGCUUCGAUUUUCUGCUUGCCCAAAAUAGUCAAAUAUUCCUUUAAAAUUUCAUUCAUGUUUUCUAAAUUUUAAAAUAAGGCAAUGUUCUAUGUUUGGAAAUUCGAGAAAUCAUGCCCUAACGUGCUGGGUUUCGUUUUUUUCGUUGGUCCAAAUAAUUGAAUACCCUUUUUGUUGCAUUUUGGAAAUCAUGAAGUGAUCUCAAUUUUUUGGAGGCUUAAAAUAUCGUGUCCUAACGUGCUGGAUGUGGUAUUUUAUUUCUUUGAAACGAGUGAAUCUUAAAAUCCAAUUUGAGUUGUGCACACACUUUUAAGGGGAUCAUAUUUCAAUGGUUUUUUUUAAAAUUUUCAACAUUAGACAUAAAUUAAUUAAUUAGGUACCAAUUUUGGGCGUUACGAGGGUGCUAAUCCUUCCUCGUACGUAACCGACUCCCGAACCCAUUUCUUGAUUUUUCGUGGGCCAAAAUCCAUAUUUUAAUAAAAUGAUUUAUUAGGUGAUCCGAUCACACCUAAACCAAAAAAGGAUCGGUGGCGACUCCAUACCUCGCUUUAAAGUCGAUCCCUUUUUUUUCAAACUUUUAAAAAUGAUUUCGACAGCUUGGCGACUCCAUUAGGGACCAAUAAGAGAGUCAAGCCGUAAAAUUGAUUAUUUUCUGUCCUUUUGUCGAAAAUUUAAAAUUUAGAUUUUAACAUAUGAUCCUUUUAUUGCAUUUUAUGGGUUUUAUGGUUUUUGUCAUUUUAUUCGUGUUUUGCAUUUUGAGUUUUUUAUAUCCCUUCACAUCAUCUUACAUGACCGUUGUGGUCGCACCUUUUUAAGUGGGAGUGAUGAACUACGCCUUCGUGAGGUUUUCACAUCCGCAUGGGCUAGUGGACUGCUUCCGGGAUAUAUCCGUACCUAUGUCUUCGUGAGGUUUUCACCUCCGCAUGGAUAUAGGGAAAUGUAUUCCUCUGAACUAAACUCGAUCCGCGUGAACCUAUAAUGGGUGAGAGUUGAGGAAUCUGCUGGUUCAGAUACCAUUUUCGUAGAACCGAACGGCAUAUAGUGAACUCUAGGAGCCCGCCCUAGGUAGAGCUAUGUUGAACUCUAGUGAUUACCCAGUUAGGUGUUUAAUUGUUUUCUAUUUGCUUAAAUUUUUAUUUUUUGAAUACUAACUUGUUGUGUUUUGUUGUGAUUAUGUUUUGCAUGUCAUUUCAUAUUAAAAAGGUGUCGAUUUCUGUUCAGUUGCUAAAUUAGAAAGCUUGUUAUAGAGAGCGAAUUCCUUGAUAAAGUAGAGGAUAAUGCGACUGUCCGUAUCUGGUCAGAGAAGAUGCAACUUGAGAAAGGGGAUAGCCUAGCUGAGGGGUAUGCAUCGGGGUUUUCGGGCUUCACUCACAUCAAUAUAACCUAAAAUAAACUCUAAGAGUUGAGGGAUAUAUGGGCUUGUCAGGAUGAUGAGACCAAGCAGCUAUUCUAUCAAAGUUAUGGUGACUUACCCUACCUGCUCGAUAUCAAGGUGGACAAGUACUUGUUUCGGGCUAUGGCUCAGUUUUGGAACCCGGCAUAUAGUUGUUUCACCUUCGGGAAGGUAGACUUGGUGCCUACUGUGGAGGAGUAUACAGCUUUGCUUCGUUGUCCAAAGGUUCAAGUCAACAAAGUUUAUUCCAAGGCUGCUAGUGCCCUAGCUUUUGUAAAGAAGUUAACGGGUAUCACUGGGAUGAGUGAACAAUGGGUUACAGCUCGAAUUCAGUAAAAAGGUGAAGGUAGGUGUAUUCCUUGGGUAAGUUUGAGGGACCUGAUCGUAGCACAUCCAGAUACAAAGAGGAAAGUUGACGUCUUCGCCUUGAGUAUUUAUGGUUUGGUGAUUUUCCCUAAGGCUUUAAGGCAUAUAGAUGAAGCAGUUACCGAUUUCUUUGAUCGACUUGACAAAGGGGUCACACCGGUGCCGGUAAUUCUUGCUGAGACAUUCAAAUCCUUGAGUGCAUAUCGGAGGGCAAGUAAAGGUAGAUUUAUAGGGUGUGAGCAGUUAUUGUUGGCUUGGUUCUACAGCCAUUUCUAGAAGGUGGAUAAGGUUUCCUAUCGGGUUUUUUCUGAGAGUUACUCCCCGUUAAAAGAGAUAGCAGCCAUGUCUAGGAGAUAUGAAAUAUCAGAAGAAAAUUGGAUCGUGCUCUUCCGAAAUCUUAAGGAAGAGGAUGUUGAGUGGAGAGCUCCUUGGUUUGUUCCUGAUGAGAUCCUCUAUCGGUGUGGGAGUUUUGAUUGGGUACCUCUACUUAGAAUUUGGGGAGCUGCUGGAUAUGCCCCUUUGCUCGUUUUAAGACAAUACAGGUCAAGCCAGCUUAUACUGAUGACACAUGGAUUAUCCCAUAGUGAGUUCGCGUAUAGGGAGAAGAAUUAUAAGAAUAAGGUUCAAGAGAUUUCUGAUGCUUGAAAACAGACGCGCCGGAUGAAGAGAUUGGUUGUUGGAUCAAUGACGACUCCUUAAUAAAAUGGGUGGUUGAGUAAAAGAGUUAACGAUAAUAUCCCCGAGCUGAGUUUAGAGGAUGUUCGUGUGAUGAAAGAAUAUUUGCAAGUAAUUCCCUCCGAGCUUGAAAUCGUAAAACGGGACUCCGAAGAAAGAAAUACAGAGUUGGGGAAAAAGAUAGAACAAUUGGAGGAAGAAAAAAUGCAUUUGAGUUUGGAUGUCGAUGUUCAGAAACUCGAGGUCGAGAAGUUGAGAAAAGGGAAAAAGAAGGUUGAGGAAGACUUAGAUAGUUUGAAGACCGAUUACAAGAAGUUGCGUAUGUCGAUGAAAACUGCUGGAUUGGGAAAGACGUCAGAGCAGUGGCGACAAGAAGUUCAAGAGGAAAAGGCUAGAGCAGAUCAGUGGGAGAAGAGGUUCCAUGAUGCUCGAGCACGUGAAAGCGCCUUAAAGAAGAGCUUGGUUGAAGGCCAAUGUGAGAAAGAGAUGUUAGUAGCUCAGGUAGCGGAGCUAGAAAAGGCCAUGCAUCAACACCGUGGUCGUAACUCUGAUAUUGAAUUAAAAGCCAGCCUGAGUAGGAUUGAAGAUUUGAAAGGGAAGGUAGAAGAGCUCAAGACUACACUACAAAACUGUGAGCUUCGAAUUGAAUUACUUAAGUCGAACAAUGAGCAGUGGAAGGAACAACUCUGUCAAUCGCAAGACCAAGUCAGGGAAAGAGAUUAUAUCAUGGGGGAGGCCGUGGCUCAGAUUCAAGAAGUGGCCGAUUAUCUACAGACCUUAGCAGUUCAGGCUGAUGUGUUAUGUUUGAAGUAUGAGUUAGAGUCAGACCGGGGUCGUGAGCUGGCUUACCUUCUUAAGAAAGUUAAAGCUUUGAGCAUUAGGGCUAGACCGUAUAUAUGAUCUAUUUUAUGAAAAGGAUUUUGCUUUCUAAUAAAGUUUUUUAAAUGGAAUUGAAACAGAAUCGACGUCUCUUUAGUUUUUCAUUCAUUUCAUGCAUUUGCAUUUCAUCGCAUCAUGUACAUUAAAUUUCAAAAAAAGAACCUUAAUUAAUUAAAACAUUGUAUUACAGUUACCCUGAAACAUCAAUACUACACACGGAAAAAGACCAAAGCUAUGGAUCAAGGUUGGAAAAAUUAGAGCAAAUGCAGAAAGAAAUGCAGGAACAGAUGCAAGCACAAAUGCAAGAGCAAUUAGCUAAGAUCCAGCAAGAAAUGAAAGAUCAAAUGCUGUAAUCUCAGAGGAGUAUGAUGAGCGAAUUGACUCAGCUACUAGUUGGAAAACCGGAAAAUGGGAAGAGUUCCAGGGUCAAUGCUGAAGAUGAUAGCGGGAUUCUUGCUUAUCCUCCGGGUUUCACCCCAACAAAUACCCCAGUGCCUCCUCAAAAGUUGUCUGUUAGUAUCAAACCCCAAUAUCAGACUGGUACUUCGGCACCGAUAAAUAUUUAGACGGGCUCGUGUUCCAACCCUAGAGACCAUCGGGCAAAUCCUACAGUCCCUGACUUCGAUGAGGUCGCGAAAGUAGGAAAGGCAGAAGCAAAAUUUCCAAAGCGACUAGAAGACUGAUAUAAAUGGUUGAAGGAAAUUCAAGGCAUUGAAAACGCUGAUUAUCAUUGCGGAAUGGAUGCUAAGAAGUUGAGCCUGGUCUCGGAUUUAGUACUCCCUCGAAAGUUCAAAAUUUCGGAGUUUGAGAAAUACAACGGAACCAGUUGCCCUGAGGCUCAUGUCACUAUGUUUUGUCGAAGGAUGACUGGUCAUGUCAAUAAUGAUCAGUUAUUGAUUCACUGUUUCUAGGACAGUUUGGCUGGGGCUGCGGCUAAGUGGUACAAUCAAUUAAAUCGUAGCCAAGUCAAAUCAUGGAAAAACUUAGCACAGGCCUUCAUGAAACAAUAUGGUCAUGUGACUGACAUAGCGCCUGAUAGGAUCAAAUUACAAAACAUGGAGAAGAAGUCAAAUGAAAGUUUCAGGCAAUAUGCUCAGAGAUGGAGGGAGAUUGCUACACAAGUCUAGCCCCCACUAUUGGAAAAGGAAACAACCAUGCUUUUCAUUAAUACCUUGAAGGCACCUUUUAUUAAUCACAUAUUGGGAAGCGCAACUAAGAGUUUUGCGGAUAUAGUUAUGUCUGGUGAAAUGAUUGAAAAUGCAAUAAGGUGCGGAAAGAUAGAGGCAGGGGAAAGCACCAGGAGGUUGGCCCCGAAAAAGAAAGAAAAUGAAGUCAGCAAUGUGAACAUGUGUUAUGCGAAACCAAUCAUGGUAAAUCAACCAAAAGUGGUAACCACGGGCCAGCAAGCUUCACCAAGGCAGGAGCCCAAUACAAAGCAGAACACGGAGAAUUCCCAGUUUACUCCCAUUCCAGUAACGUAUUGGGAGCUGUACAAAAGUUUGUUUGAUGCACACGUCGUAUCUCCUUUUUAUUUAAAACCACUGCAACCCUCAUACCCCAAGUGGUAUGAUGCAGGUGUUCAAUGUGAAUAUCAUGCUGGAAUCGCGGAACACUCGAUAGAGAACUGUACCUCUUUUAAGAGGGUAGUCGAAAGGCUCAUCAACAUGGGUAUUGUGAAAUUCGAUGAUGCACCUGGUGUAGGAAAUCUGUUACCCAAUCAUACUAAUAAAGGGGUAAAUACAAUAGUCGAGAAUAUGGGAAGGAGAAUUAAGUUGGAUAUGACAGAAGUGAGAACCCCGAUGAGGGAGGUUUUGAAGAAGAUGGUAGAGAAAUGUCUAGUCAUGCAAGACUUUGGGAGCAAAUCCCGAGAAGCAGGAAACUAUUGUGAGUUCCAUGGAGAAGUGGACCAUGAGAUAGAAACAUGUAAUAAAUUUAGAGCCCUAGUACAGGCUCUAAUAAACAACAAAGAGCUAGAGUUCUUUGAGUUUACUGAGAAGGAAGAUGUAUGCACCUCGAAGGAGGGGUUGAUAGAGAAGGUUUCUGAGGUCAAUCACCCAGUGGUGAUCAUUUCACGAUUGAAAAUUAAUAAAGUUGGAGCAAAAAUCACACCGAGAGUUGUAAUCCAUAGACCCACGACUUUUCGGUAUAAGGAUAUCAAAAGGGUGCCUUGAAAGUACAACUGUAAUGUGACAUAUCCAGAGGGGGAGAAUCUGGUCAGCACGUCAAGUAUAAAGGUCGAGCGUGGAAAAGGGAAGCCCGUGAUAAUUGAACUGUAACAGCCUAAUUUUCAGUGGUGUCGGAACAUUAAUUCGAGAUCACUAAAUCCGACAAAUGAGUAGGAAAUAUUAUUAAUUUAGUGAGCAUAAGUUAAAUGUUAAGUUAGGAAAAAUUUUGAAAUAGUGAAAUGUACAAUAUAUAUAUUAAAAUAAUUAGAAUUGAAAAUGAGGUAUCGAGACCUCGGGAAUUUUAAAUCGAGCCAUAAAUAUUUAUGGAGGGUUAAUAAGUUAGUAUUAAAGUUUCGUCAAGAAAUUUUAAAGUACUGAUAGCUAAUUGAACAAAAAGGACUAAAUUGUAUCAAAUGCAAAAUUGUGCGAAAUGAUUAAAUAGCUUAAAUGAUAAAAGAAAGAGGGAUAAAAGGCAAAUAGACCCAAGGUCUAUUUGGGCUGGACGGCAAGAGCAUGAAAUCACCAAGAAAAUAAGGGUAAAAUUGGAAAAUUACAAAAUUUACUUAAUAAAGCUAGGACUAAAGUGGAAUUAUCUAGAUUUCUCUUUAUUUUUCUUCAUUCUCAUCAGCAAAAACACAAUGGAAGAGUUCCCUUAAGCUUGUUUUUCAUAUUUUUACUGCAAGUAAGUUCAAUUCUUGAUUAUUUCUUGAAAUUUUUGUGUUUUUGUGACUUUUACAACUAGGUCCAUUUGUUGAAUUCAUUAGUUCUUGAUUCUAUUAAUGAAAUUGAAAGUUUCUAUGAAUAUGUGCUGGAAGUAUAUGAUUAUUUGAUAUAGAAUUAGAGCUUUAAAUUAUUUAUAUGCUGAUUUUAUUGAAAGAAUUGAAUAGAAAGUGAAUGUUUGGGACCUAAAUUGUAAAAGAGUUUGAAGUUAGAGUUGUAUGUGGAAAUUCUGAAUUUCAAUAGUUAUGAAAUAACUUAUAAUGUCUAGGAAAAGUAUUAAUUGAGAAAAUUAGUUUAAUUGAGGGGUUAAUUAAGUAAGGACUGAAUUGUAUGAACUGUGAAAUUUGGGGCAAAAUGAAAAUUAACAUUUUGCACUAAAAUAGUUUUGGACAGCAGCAAUAGUCUAACUUUGAAAAAUCUCCAAAAAUUUUAGAAAUCUAACUAGAGGAUGAAUAAAAUAUGAAAUUAAAGCUUAUUGAGUCUAGUUCCUUAUAGAAGAAACGGUGUAAGCAAUGGAAUUGUAAAUCAUGAGAUAUAAUAAGUUUUGUGAGACAAUGUCAGAACGAUUUCGGGUUCCCCUGUUCUGACUUUGGAAAAUCAUCAAAAAUUGGAUAAAAAUAAUUAAGGGAUUAAAUUUAUAUGUUUAAAAUCCUUAAAGAGUCUAUUUUUAAUAGAAAUAAGCAGAAACAUCAUCCGAAUCUCGUACAAUGAGAUAAUUAAUUCUUAGUGAAUAAGGGUCAGAACUGUCAGACAGCAGAACAGGGGAAACUUUACAGAAUAAACUGUACUUAUUGGAUGAACCAAAAAUUCUGAAAAUUUUAUGGUAAUAAAAUAAGUAAGUCUAGUUUCAGGAAAAAUUAGCGGAUCUUAAUUUCAAGUUCUGUAGCUUAAGAUAUAAAUAAUUUAGUAACUAUGACGCAAAUAGACAGUUUUGAAUAUACAUAAGUAAAUAGUGAAAUUAUUGAUAAUGUUACUUGUUGCAUGUUAUAUAAAUUAAGGAUGUGGAAUAGAGAGGAGGAGGAGGAAAAUAUGUAUGAAUAUUCAGCUAGCAUGGCUAAUUUGUAUGUUUUAGGCUCAUGGACUAAAUUGAAUAAAAGUAAAAUUUUAUGGGUAAUUUUGUAAAAAAAUGUUAGAAAUGACCAAUUUGCAUGAAAUGAAUUAUUUUAUUAUUUAAAUUACAAAAUUGAAUGAAAUUAUUAAUUUAGCUCAAGAUCAGGGAAAAACAUGUUUUAAGGAUUAAAUUGGAAAGUAUUGAAAUUAUGGAAAAUUCUGACAUUUUAUAGAAUUCAUAGGUUGUUAUCAAUUUGUGUGAGAACAACGGCUGGAAAUAAGGAUUAAAUUGCAAUAAUUUUAUUUUAUUUUAACCUAAGGAUGAAAUCGUCAUUAAUUAAAAGUUUAGGGGUAAAAUGAUAAUUUUGUUUAGAGCAUUAGUUGAAUGUAUUAUAACAUGAAAUAAAUGAAAACGACGAUCAAAUUUCUUUAUAAAGAUCCGGAUGACUUGAAUACGAGACUUGAACAUGGAAAAGAAAAGAUAUCGGAUUAAUGAAAUAUAUGAUAAAUGAAUCGGUAACUCCGGUAAUGCUCUGUAACUCUAUUCCGAUGAUGGAUUCGGGUUAGGGGCGUUACAUGAACAAGGGAAAGAGAGGACAAAACCACUGGUUAAUGAACCAGUAAUUGAAGAUGAAGCUAAAGAAUUUUUGAAGUUCCUAAAACACAGUGAGUAUAGUGUUGUGGAACAGUUGCACAAGCAACCGGUACGCACAUCGGUACUAGCCUUGCUCCAAAACUCAGAGGUUCACCGAAAUGCGUUGAUGAAGGUGUUGAACGAGACCUAUGUCGCUGAAGAUAUUUCAGUUAACAAGCUAGACUGCUUUGUCAGUAACAUAAGCACCGAUAAUUUCAUCUCCUUCAGUGACGAUGAAAUACCACCAAGGGGCAUGGGAUCCACCAAGGCUUUGCACAUCACCACUCACUGCAAAGGGUAUACAUUGCCGAGGGUAUUAAUUGAUAAUGGGUCAGCGCUGAAUGUUUUUCCAUUGUCCACAUUAAAUAGGUUACCAAUAGACAGUUCUCAUAUAAAGACAUGCCAGAACAUAGUGAGGGCAUUUGAUGACACUGAGAGGAAAGUGAUGGGAAGGAUUGAUGUACCUCUGCUGAUCGGACCAAACACAUACGAGGUAGAUUUCCUUGUGAUGGAUAUUACGCCUUCUUAUAAUUGCUUGUUGGGGAGGCCUUAGAUUCAUUCAGCAGGGGCAGUACCGUCAUCGUUGUACCAAAAGUUAAAGUUGGUGAUAGAGGGCCGCUUGAUAACGAUAAAUGCUGAGGAGGACAUUAUUGCAUCCGUUACUAGUAGUGCACCGUAUAUAGAAAAUGAUGAUGAAACAAUUGAGUGUUCCUAUCAGUCAUUAGAGUUUGUAAAUACAACUUUCAUCAUUUAAGGGGGCAGGGUCCCAAUGCCAAGAAUGUCUGAGACUACGAGGAUGAGCUUGCAAUUAACAGUGGGAAAGGGAGUAUUGCCUGGAAGAGGACUUGGAAAGUAUCUUCAUGGACGAGUUGAGGUACCGGUUUUGGAUGAUAAACAGGAUCGCUUUGGCUUAGGGUAUAGGCCAAAUACAAAGCAGAAAAGAAAGGAGAUGGAAAGGAGGCAGAGGAGACGAAUAGCACGACUGAAUGGGGCAGAAGUCGAGUGGGAAUCAAUGACUUUUCCCCAUAUAUCCUAUACAUUUGUGUCAGGUGGAGUUAUUUAUCCUGAAUUGAAUAUGACAAGAGAGGGAACAGCUAAAGACGCAAUGGAAAAUUUGAAUAUUAAUAUCAUAUCUGAAGUGCAAGUGAUGAAACGUGACUUAGCAAGUAUUCGCCCUUAUGAGCUUGGAAGUGUUCUAAACAACUGGACUGCGUAGGAAAUUCCUGUAGUUUUUAGUGCUAAUACAGAGUAAUGUUUCAAACACACUUGUUGUUUUAAAGCCUAUAAGCAAUAAGAAUCAUUUGCGAAAUAGGCUCAUGUUCAAAACGUUUAUUUCAAUAUAAAUACACUUUCAUGUCUUAUUCUGAGCAAAUAUUCUUUUAUCUUGAGCAAAUUUUAUUUUCUUGUAUUUUAUUUAUAAUCAUACUAUACAAAUAAAGCUAUACUUAGGUUCAUUUGAUUGUUGGAUAUUCUUUCGUGCCUACAAUAGGUCUCUAGAUAUCAAUGGCAUGAGUGAUGCUGUUACAAACUCGGAGUUCCUUUUUGAGAGAGGCGUGUGUCUGGAGGAUCUCAGGAUUUUGAAGUUGAUGAAGGCUGUAGCUUACCUUCAGAUUUGUUAAGGAUGGUAGAACAGGAGGAGAAACAGAUUCUACCCCAUAAAAAGACAAUUGAGAGUGUGACCUUGGAAGAGGGGAAAAAGGUGAACAUUGGAACUUGCAUCAUUGAGGAAACAAGACGGGAGCUCAUUGGUUUACUGCAAGAGUUCAAGGAUAUCUUCGUGUGGUCAUAUCAAGACAUGCUUAGGCUAAGCGCUGAUAUUGCGGUGCAUCGCGUCCCCACAAAAAAAGAGUGCAAGCCUGUUCAACAGAAACUUCGAAGGAUGAGACCUGAUGUUGCAGUAAAAAUAAAAGAAGAGGUCAGGAAGCAAUUUGAUGUCGGGUUCUUGCAAGUUGUUAAUUAUUCAGAAUGGGUAGCUAACGUCGUCCCUGUCCCUAAGAAAGAUGGAAGGAUGAGGAUGUGUGUAGAUUACAUGGACUUAAACAAGGCCAGCCCAAAAGACAACUUCUCCUUGCCUCACGUCGACACUUUGGUGGACAACACGGCAGGUUACUCGCUGUUUUCCUUCGUGGAUGGUUUCUCUGGGUACAAUCAGAUAAAGAUGUAUCCUGAAAACAUGGAAAAGACCACAUUUAUAACCUUAUAGGGGACUUUUUGCUAUAGGGUGAUACCAUUCGCGAUGAAGAAUGCGGGAGCAACGUAUCAAAGAGCCAUGGUAACCUUAUUUCAUGACAUGAUGCAUAAGGAAAUCGAGGUCUACGUUGACGAUAUGACCGCAAAAUCCCGAACAGAAAAGGAGCAUAUACAGGUUUUGAGGAAAUUGUUCUUGAGGUUGAUAAAGUUUCAGCUAAAGCUCAAUCCAACAAAAUGUACUUUUGGAGCUAGGUCAGGGAAGCAGCUUGGUUUUAUAGUUAGUGAAAAGGGAAUUGAGGUUGACCCCAACAAAGUCAAAGCUAUACAAAAAUUGCCUCCACUGCGCACUCAAGAAGGAAGUUCGAGGGUUUUUAGGAAGACAAAAUUACAUUGCUCGGUUCAUCUUGCAAUUGACAGAGAAAUGCAAUCCCAUAUUUCACCUUCUCAAGAAACAUAACCUAGGUGUAUAGGAUGAUGAAUGCCAGAAAACCUUCGACAGAGUUAAACAAUAUUUGACCAAUCCCCCAGUGCUAACGCCACCUAGCCCGGGUAGGCCAUUGAUAUUGUAUUUGACAGUAUUUGAUAUUUCAAUAGGAUGUGUGCUCGGCCAACAUGAUGAGACAGGAAAGAAAGAAAGAAAGAAAGGGCAAUAUAUUACCUCAGUAAGAAAUUCACUGAGUGUGAAAUGAGAUACUCGCCAAUUGAAAAGUUAGGUUGUGCCUUGGUUUUGACCACUCGGAGAUUAAGGCAGUACAUGCUAUACCACACGACUUAGUUAAUCUCAAAACUGGACCCUCUAAAGUACAUGAUAGAGUCGACUACUCUAAGUGGAAGAAUGGCCCGGUGGCAAAUCCUGCUUUCUGAAUUCGACAUAGUUUAUGUGAACUAGAAGGCUGUGAAAGGGAGUGCAAUAGCAGAUUUUCUAGCCAGCAGAGCUUUAGAAGAUUAUGAGCCUUCGAACUUUGAUUUCCCUAAUGAAGAUCUAAUGUAUGUGGCAACUACCGAAGAGGACACUUCAGAAGAUCAUCCGUGGAAACUGAAUUUUGACGGAGCAUCAAACGUUGUUGGCAAUAGAAUUGGGGCAGUCCUGAUAUCCCCACAUGGAGAUCAUUAUCCAUUCACUUGCAAAUUAGAUUUUUAUUGCAUAAAUAAUAUGGCAGAGUAUGAGGAUGUAUCAUGGGAAUCCAUACAGCAAUCGAACGUAAAAUCAAUGUGUUAGAGGUGUAUGAAAAUUCUGCACUGGUGAUCUAUCAGCUUAAAGGUGAAUGGGAAACAAGAGACCCAAAGUUGAUUAACUAUCGAGAGCUAGUUUGGGAUUUGAUUAAAGUGUUUGAUGAUAUCACUUUCUUUUAUCUCCCGCGAUACAAAAACCAGAUGACAGAUGUUCUGGCUACGUUAGCUUCUAUGAUCAGAGUAAAUGGACUAGAGAAUAUGAACCCGAUCCAGAUGAGUAUUUAUGAGGCUCCAGCUCAUUGUUGUAGUAUAGACGACGAAGAGGAGAGAGAUGUUUAUCAUUGGUAUCAUGAUAUUUUACGAUAUGUGAAGAGCCGUGAAUAUCCUGAUCAGGCAACUGAAAAUGAUAAGAGGACGUUGAGAAGGCUAAACAAUGACUAUGUCUUAGAUGAAGAAAUCCUGUACAAAAUGAGGAAAGAUCAUGUGCUGUUAAAAUGUGUUGAUGCUGUUAAAGCUAAGAAAAUCCUGGAAGAAGUCCAAGAAGGUGUCUGCGGGACGCAUGCCAAUGGGUUCACAAUGGCCAGGCAAAUUAUGAGAUUCGAGUACUACUGGUCCACAAUGGAAGGAGAUUGCAUCAGCUAUGCCAAGAAAUGUCAUAGGUACCAAAUUUAUGGUGACAAGAUCUACGUACCUCCUUCACCCCUUCACGUCAUGACUUCUCCGUGGCCUUUCUCAAUGUGGGGCAUGGACGUCAUUGGGUCGAUUUCACCAAAAGCUUCUACUGGACAUCGAUUCAUCUUUGUGGUCAUGAUUACUUCACCAAGUGGGUAGAGGCUAUUUCAUAUGCCAAAGUCACAAAGUCAGCAGUCAGCAAGUUCUUAAAAAAAGAAAUCAUAUGUCGAUAUAGCAUGCCAGAAAGGAUCAUAUCUGACAAUGCAUUGAAUUUGAAUAACUGUGUGAUAGUAGAGGUCUGUAAGUAAUUCAAGAUUAAACACCACAACUCGUCACCUUAUCGCCCCAAAAUGAAUAGUGCGGUUGAGGCAACCAAUAAGAAUAUCAAGAAGAUCGUGGGGAAAAUGACUGUGACCUAUUAGGAUUGGCAUGAAAAGCUGUCAUUUACUCUUUAUGCCUAUCGAACAUCUGUCAGAACUUCUAUCGGGGCAACACCUUACUCAUUGGUUUAUGGGAUGGAGGCAGUUUUGCCCAUUGAAGUCGAAAUUCCUUCUCUCUAGGUUUUAUCAGAGUUGAAGCUAGACGGAGCAGAAUGGAUUCAGUCCCGAUAUGAUCAGCUGAACUUAAUUAAAGAAAAGUGACUGAAGGCUAUCCGUCAUGGUCAAAUGUACCAGAGGCGAAUAAUGCGAGCUUACAAUAAAAAGGUUCGCCCCAGAGUAUUCCAUGAGGAGGACUUGGUAUUGAAACAAAUUAUUCCUAUACAAAAAGAUUUCAGAGGGAAAUGGAUGCCAAACUGGUAAGGACCUUACGUGGAAAAGAAGGCUUUUCUGGAAAAGCGUUGAUAUUAACUGAGAUGGAUAGUAGGAGCCUGCCUAGCCCAGUAAAUUCGGAUUCAGUCAAAAAGUACUUCGAUUAAGAGGUGAAAACCUACAAAUGGCGCCUAAAAAAAAUAGAGAGGCCGAGGUAAAUAUUUGCUUCUCUUGAUUAAUCUAUUCUCUUGAAUCUUGUUCCUAAUAAACUUCAGUUUUGUCCAUCUUUAUCUUUGUGCUCACGUACUUGUAUUGAAAUAACUACUAAUGAACUAAUAAUACUUUUACAAAAGAGGUUUUUGUAUAUUACUCUGGGAGUUUCUAAAUGGAACAUGAAUCUGAAGCAGGACUUUUAGUUAGAACUUACCCAACUUAGAGGUGGGAUAUUUGUGUUCAAUUUGGGAUUAUCUCUUUAGAUUUUUAGUCAAAUAUAUUGAUUGAAUAAGAAAACAGGAUAUCGUGUCAACCAAAGCAUUAAGAGGGGAUCAUGAUAUUCCUCAUUAAUGUAAUGUCGGGCGUACACAUCUGGUCAUGGGGCUCGGGGAGUGGUGUAAUAGACCGAAUUAAUGGAAGAGGGGGUUUUGAAUAUGGUACAAACCUUAGGUUCUAGAAGUAUAGCGAAACAUACUUUGAAGUUGCAAUAGGGCAAACCAGUUGAGCAAAAUGAGUUGUUUCUACAGGUUUUAUUGAGAAAUGCUAGUCGAGCAGGAAGACAGCAUAAUACGAUGAUGAUAAAGCUCUGAUGAAUAACGAGUGAUGGCACUUAAAGUUUUAAAAAAAAAGAAAAAGAAAAAAGAAAUCAUUUUUAUUUCUACAUUCAUAUCAUUCAUAACACAUUUGGUUAGGAGCAUCUGAUUCAUUUCAAUCUUAGCAUUCUAAUUAUUUGGCAUAAACAUAAACAUAAAAUUGAGUCUGCAGGGCAUGUUCCCUAGAGGACAAUGUAGCGACAUCGGUGAAAAUUACAGAUCUUAUCUCCAUGUAUCGGCUAUGGAGUAGAUCGGAAAUGGCGAGUCUUAUCUCCAUGUAUCGACUAUGGAGCAGAUUUUAGCCACCAAGCCUUAUCUCUCUGAAGUUGCAGAGAGUAGGUUGAAGAUACAAGUCUUAUCUUCCUGAAGUUGCAGGAAGCAGACUGAAAAUUACAGAUCUUAUCUCCAUGUAUCGGUUAUGGAACAGAUUGAAAAUGGCGAGUCUUAUCUCCAUGUAUCGGCUAUGGAGCAGAUUUUAGCCACCAGCCUUAUCUCUCUAAAGUUGUAGAGAGCAGGUUGAAGAUACAAGUCUUAUCUUCCUGAAGUUGCAGGAAGCAGACUGAAAAUUACAGAUCUUAUCUCUAUGUAUUGGCUAUGGAGCAGAUAAAAAUGACGAGUCUUAUCUCCAUAUAUCGGCUAUGGAGCAGAUUUUAGCCACAGACCUUAUCUCCCUGAAGUUGCAGUGGAACAGGUUGAAGUCAAACAUUAUCUUCUUGAAGUUACUGUAAGACUACUUGAAGAAGGAGUACCAAGGAGGUCGAAGAUUUGGCAGGACCGGGCAAAAUUGGUUCUUUUAGGGUCUUUGCUCCGUUCUCGUUACACAAUAACUCGCAAAGAGGGGCAGCUGUAGACCCAAUUUUUAGCCAUGGCCCAUAUAUAUUCAAAGAUAAAACAUAAAACGGCCCAAAAUACAAGUCAAGUUACAAAUGGCCCAACACUAAUAGGCCCAAUUUUGGAAAACCUAGGGUUUUCAUAUGUUUCGUGCCGCAGCAGUGGCCACCAGCAGCCUCCACGAACUAUGCAUGAUCACCGACUCGCGCAUGGCUCGCCCCACGUCCGUGCGCUCCGCUCCCAUGUCUCCAUGACCUACAAUAUGAGAAAAAAUAGCUAGAAAUCGCUUGUAUUUUGGACUAUAAAGCUUCUGAAUUUUGAUUGUAAAAGGAUGGUUUUUUUCCUCUCGGAGAAAGAGAAUACGAAUUGUAUACAAAAUAUACACAAAAAUCAGUAGAAAGUAACCAAAGAGUAUUUUCAAAGGUAAUUAUUUAAUGCCGUUUUUUUUUGUUUCUUCUUUUUCCAUUUUUUUCAUUUCCAUUCGGAUCCAUAUACGAAAAUAUAAAAAGAAAGGGGAGGGGAACUCACCAUCACGACGCAAGAGGAACUUCUGAAGUCGAAGUUUGGCUCAAAAUGGUGGUGGAACCGUUUCUCUUUGGUCUGUUGAAGAAGAGAAAAAAGAGGGGAAAGUGAAGGAGAAGAGUCUCAAAACUUAGGGGUUUUUUUAAG
rnacentral:lncRNA from 1 species